UCGCACACCAAGUAACUAUAUAAAAUGUAAAAUGCUGCUUUGGUGAAUUGUUUUUUUUUUUUUUUUAAUUCAGUCAAUGUUUAAUUAAAACAUUUUUAUGGUAUUUUUAGUUAAUAACCUUGUUUCAUAUAAUACUUCAGAUGCCAUGAUAUUCGAUAUAAAAGUGAUAUCAGAAAACAACUGAGAAAUUUUGAACAAUCAUUUAAUUUAUUUUUUCCUAAAUAUUUUGAUCAAAUAUUUAUAUGGGUUGUUUGUAUAGACAAAUGUAAGAGCUUCAUGUUUGCUUUCCUUCCUCCUUAGAUUGUGAUCUUCAAACACAAAGUCAUCAUUUCAUCUCAACACAUACGCCCUUUUAUCAACAACAACAUUUGGUUCCUGCGUAUACAAUGUAUAACUCUGAUCCAGCUGAUGCAGACAUAACCUUCUUCUGAAAUGUUCCAGAAUGCAUUACAUGUAAACAAGGGUGGGGUGAUGCGGUUGCUCCAUAUCACUGAAAAAAAAAAAAAGUUUUGCUGACUAUAGAUUUUACUGUACAGAGGCCUGCAAAACAGAGCCACCUGGGAGAGUUUUGCCGACUAAUCCUGGUUCUGCCAUCCCUCACUGGGCCUGUGUCAUCUCUUUCCACUUUCUCCUCCUCUGUCUGCACUUUACAUAACAAUCCCCACCCAAGUCCAUGGGCCAGCACAAUGCCUGCAGCAGUGGUUUGAUGUCUUUUAAAAGCUUUGACUGGCCCCACAGGCCUCCUGUGUGUCCUUUCCUAGGCUUUGUGGCCAGGAGAGAUGGACAGCUCAGUUGUGACCUAGAGCUCCUGGUCUGCAAGAGUGUGUUUGAAGGCAGGGGGUUGAUUGUUUUAGAUUUGAGUUGGCUGUGCUUGUACUGAUGGUGUAUAUGCUGCCGUUCAAAAGAUUGGGAUAAGUUCGAUUUUUAAUGUGUGGGUUUUUUAAAGAAGUUUCUUAUGCCCAUCAAGUCUGCAUUUAUUUGAUCAGAGAUAGGCUACAGAAAGAAAUUGUAUAUUUAUUAUAUAAUUUAUUCCUGUGAUGUAAAGCUGAAUUUUCAGCAGCCAUUACUCCAGUCUUCAGUGUCACAUGAUCUUUCAGAAAUCAUUCUAAUCUGCUGAUUUAUGAUCAGUGUUUAAAUGUUGUCAUUGUUUUGCUUAAUAUUUUUUUGGAACAUGUGCUACUUUUUUAAGGAUUCUUUGAUGAAUAAAAAGUUAAAAAGAACAGAAUUUAUUUAAAAUAGAAAUCUUUUGUAACAAUAUACACUAAAGUUCAAAAAUCUGGGGUCAGCAUUUUUUUUCUUUCCUAUUUUGAAAGAAGUUAAUACUUUUAUUCAGCAAGGUGUUAAAUUCAUAAAUAAUUAUAGUAAAGUCUUAUAUUGU
ensembl:lncRNA